GAGUUUGAUCGUGGCUCAGGAUGAACGCUGGCGGCGUGCCUAAUACAUGCAAGUCGAGCGAACAGACGGGGAGCUUGCUCCCCUGACGUUAGCGGCGGACGGGUGAGUAACACGUGGGUAACCUACCUAUAAGACUGGAAUAACUCCGGGAAACCGGGGCGUAAUGCCGGAUAACAUGUUGGACCGCAUGGUCCUACAGUGAAAGACGGUCUUGCUGUCACUUAUAGGUGGACCCGCGCCGUAUUAGCUAGUUGGUAAGGUAACGGCUUACCAAGGCAACGAUACGUAGCCGACCUGAGAGGGUGGAUCGGCCACACUGGAACUGAGACACGGUCCAGACUCCUACGGGAGGCAGCAGUAGGGAAUCUUCCGCAAUGGGCGAAAGCCUGACGGAGCAACGCCGCGUGAGUGAUGAAGGCCUUCGGUCGGUAAACUACUGUUAUUA
rnacentral:rRNA from 1 species